GACCAGACUCCUACGGGAGGCAGCAGUGAGGAAUAUUGGUCAAUGGGCGCGAGCCUGAACCAGCCAAGUCGCGUGAGGGAAGACGGUCCUAUGGAUUGUAAACCUCUUUUGUCGGGGAGCAAAAGACGCCACGCGUGGCGUUCCGAGAGUACCCGAAGAAAAAGCAUCGGCUAACUCCGUGCCAGCAGCCGCGGUAAUACGGAGGAUGCGAGCGUUAUCCGGAUUUAUUGGGUUUAAAGGGUGCGUAGGCGGACUGUUAGGUCAGGGGUAAAAGCCGGGGGCCCAACCCGGGCGAGCCGUUGAAACUGGCUGUCUUGAGAUGUCGAGAGGUAUGCGGAAUGCGCAGUGUAGCGGUGAAAUGCUUAGAUAUUGCGCAGAACUCCGAUUGCGAAGGCAGCAUACCGGCGCUCAACUGACGCUCAUGCACGAAAGUGUGGGUAUCGAACAGGAUUAGAUACCCGGGUAC
rnacentral:rRNA from 1 species